rnacentral:hammerhead_ribozyme from 1 species
AUCCAGCUGAUAAGUCCCAAAUUGGACGAAAUGCGCGUCCUGGAU